rnacentral:rRNA from 1 species
AGGAUAAACGCUGGCGGCGUGCCUAACACAUGCAAGUCGAACGAGAAAGUGGAGCAAUCCAUGAGUAAAGUGGCGACCGGGUGAGUAACACGUGACUAACCUACCUUCGAGUGGGGGAUAACAUCGGGAAACCGAUGCUAAUACCGCAUAACAUCGCAAGAUCAAAGCAGCAAUGCGCUGGAAGAGGGGGUCGCGGCUGAUUAGCUAGUUGGCGGGGUAACGGCCCACCAAGGCGAAGAUCGGUA